GAUCAUGGCUCAGGAUGAACGCUAGCGACAGGCUUAACACAUGCAAGUCGAGGGGCAGCACGGUGUAGCAAUACACUGGUGGCGACCGGCGCACGGGUGAGUAACACGUGUGCAACCAACCCCGUACCGGGAGAUAACCCGCGGAAACGUGGACUAACAUCCCAUAAGACUCUAGAGCCGCAUGGCUCUGGAUUUAAAAUUCCGGUGGUACGGGACGGGCACGCGCGACAUUAGGUAGUUGGCGGGGUAACGG
rnacentral:rRNA from 1 species